CCGAUAGUUAUGUGGCCUUCAAGGUGAUUAUCAUUUAAUGAUCCAGCUCCCUCCGGUUCUUCGUAUUUUGUUUUUGAAUUCCAUAGUCCUUUCGUGAUGCGGUAGUGUUUGGCUGUUUGGUAUAUGAGUUUGAAAGAGGAGCUGAAUUAGAGAAAAUGUCGCCGUCUGAAUCCGCUUUCCUUUUUUUGAAUUUUCUCGGACUGUUUUGUUAGUUUUUUUGAAUUUCUCGAUACGAAUCAGCUUGGCAUCUCAUGGUUAGACGUGGGGAUUCUUGUUGAAUGUAGAGAUUAGAUUGUUCUUGGUUCGUUAAUUGCUGUUUGGAUAUCUAAUGUGUGGAAAUGAUAGGUCAAGACAAC
rnacentral:lncRNA from 1 species